UGGGGAAUUUUGGACAAUGGGCGCAAGCCUGAUCCAGCCAUACCGCGUGAGUGAAGAAGGCCUUCGGGUUGUAAAGCUCUUUCAGACGGAAAGAAACGGUUACGGCUAAUACCCGUGACUAAUGACGGUACCGUAAGAAGAAGCACCGGCUAACUACGUGCCAGCAGCCGCGGUAAUACGUAGGGUGCGAGCGUUAAUCGGAAUUACUGGGCGUAAAGCGUGCGCAGGCGGUUUGGUAAGACAGAUGUGAAAUCCCCGGGCUUAACCUGGGAACUGCAUUUGUGACUGCCAGACUAGAGUGUAGCAGAGGGGGGUAGAAUUCCACGUGUAGCAGUGAAAUGCGUAGAUAUGUGAAGGAAUACCGAUGGCGAAGGCAGCCCCCUGGGCUAACACUGACACUGAGGCGCGAAAGCGUGGGGAGCAAACAGGAUUAGAUACCCGUGUAGUCCCUGAGCGGGCUGGCAAGGCGCAU
rnacentral:rRNA from 1 species